rnacentral:rRNA from 1 species
UGGGGAAUAUUGCACAAUGGGCGCAAGCCUGAUGCAGCCAUGCCGCGUGUGUGAAGAAGGCCUUAGGGUUGUAAAGCACUUUCAGUCAGGAGGAAGGGCGAUAGUUUAAUACACUAUUGCAUUGACGUUACUGACAGAAGAAGCACCGGCUAACUCCGUGCCAGCAGCCGCGGUAAUACGGAGGGUGCAAGCGUUAAUCGGAAUUACUGGGCGUAAAGCGCACGCAGGCGGUUGAUUAAGUUGGAUGUGAAAUCCCCGGGCUUAACCUGGGAACUGCAUUCAAGACUGGUCAGCUAGAGUCUCGUAGAGGGGGGUAGAAUUCCACGUGUAGCGGUGAAAUGCGUAGAGAUGUGGAGGAAUACCGGUGGCGAAGGCGGCCCCCUGGACGAAGACUGACGCUCAGGUGCGAAAGCGUGGGGAGCAAACA